rnacentral:rRNA from 1 species
GAUGAACGCUAGCGGCAGGCCUAAUACAUGCAAGUCGAGGGGCAUCGCGGGCAGCAAUGCCUGGCGGCGACCGGCGGACGGGUGCGUAACGCGUAUGCAACCUGCCCCCUACCGGGGGAU